rnacentral:rRNA from 1 species
AUUGAACGCUGGCGGCAUGCCUUACACAUGCAAGUCGAACGGCAGCACGGGAGCAAUCCUGGUGGCGAGUGGCGAACGGGCGAGUAAUAUAUCGGAACGUGCCCGGUCGUGGGGAUAACGUAGCGAAAGCUACGCUAAUACCGCAUACGAUCUACGGAUGAAAGCGGGGGAUCGCAAGACCUCGCGCGAUUGGAGCGGCCGAUAUCAGAUUAGGUAGUUGGUGAGGUAAAGGCUCACCAAGCCGACGAUCUGUAGCUGGUCUGAGAGGACGACCAGCCACACUGGGACUGAGACACGGCCCAGACUCCUACGGGAGGCAGCAGUGGGAAUUUUGGACAAUGGGCGCAAGCCUGAUCCAGCAAUGCCGCGUGCAGGAUGAA